CUUCAGCGAGCCGAGGAGCAGCGGCUGCCCCUCGGGCCGGUCCUGGCCGUAGGUGGCGAGCAGCGCCUGGGCCUC
rfam:Streptomyces rimosus subsp. rimosus ATCC 10970 contig00202, whole genome shotgun sequence.